AAUAGGGUUGUUGCAGAUGUCAUUGGUUAAGAAGAGGUCAUUAAGUUGGGCCCUAAUCCAGUAUGACUUGUGUCCGGAUAAAUAGGGGCAAUGUGGACAGAGAGACACGUGUACAUGGGAGAUGACGUGAUGAGAUGUGGAGAGAAGACGGUCGUCUCCAAGCCAAGGAGAGAGGCCUGGACCAGCCUCUCCCUCCCAGCCCUCAGGAGGAGCCUGCCCUGCUGACACCCUGCCUGCAGACUCCCCGCCCCCAGGGCUGUGAGACAGUGAGCCUCUGUGGUUCAUGUCACCCAGUGUGCGGUGCUGUGUUAGAGGGAGCUCAGCAACUAGCACCGCGUUCUCAAGGUCCUCAGUGAGCCCAGCUCUGGCCAUCUCAUUUUAACCUGGAAACUGCCUUCCCCUUGUCUCUGCCCCAGAAACCCCCUCUCCCUGAUCAUAUUAUUUCUAUCACCUUCUAGAAUACCAUAUAUUUCACAUGACUGUCAAGACUGUAGUUUAUGUUCUGCUCCUCCUCAGUCCUACAGGGACAAGGAUCCUUAUUUGUUCACUGACGGACCUCAGGUGGCUUGACCUGUACCCAUGGCACAGCAGUCAAUACAAAUUGGCCGGAUGGAAGGAGGGAUCGUUCCUUACAUUCACAGAUCCCUCCCUUCUCUCUGCACUUCCUGUCCAUCUGUCUCCCUCCACUUUUCUCCUCCUCCCCUCCUCCUCCCAUCUUCUCCCUCCCUCACUUCCGCAGCUUCUCUCACAGAAACCUGAGGAUCGCUGGCCCUCCUGCGCAUGCGCAGUCAGUGCCAGGUGGACCGCGGUUUGGAAGCUCCAUCUCCGAGCCGGGGAUCUGCCCCAAAAUCUUCUCAGCUAUGUCGCCCGGACCAGCUCGGUGGCGUGGGCGCUGCUCCCCAGGCUGAGAGCCUCCGGCCGGCCGUAAAGCCCAGCUUGUCCUGGUGAAGUCUGCAAA